UGCUGUUGCAACUUUGGCCCUUGCUGCCCCAUUGGCGCCUGCUGCUGUUUUAAGAGCAUCAGAACCCAUCGGCCAACCUCCAGGGAAGCACCCCUCUCCCUGCUUGCUUGGGGCCGAAAAUCCCGACCCUCAUGUUUUUAAAGAGAAUUGGGAUCCUAUGUGAAUAAGGUGGGAAAACUGGAAAGAUUGAAUGUCCUUUGGAGUUCACAAAGGUUUGGCAGUGGGAUGAGAAAAACAAAACGAAGCAUAGUGGGAGUGUUGAAAAGACUUUCCCAAGAUCCCCAGGAGUCUAUGAUGCUGCUCAAACCAAUAACUAUACUGCAAGAAAUGACAACUUCAUCUCUCAGAAAACCACAGAUCAGAUGCAGAAAAGUAAUCCUUGGAUAAAUUAUAUCAUGGGAGAUACAUAGCUCAGCUACAAAGUCCAGUGAGGCAACAGACCGAAACAGAAAGAGUCAUGGGAAAACUUGAUGCUGAAAUUAGAAUUCCUAGCAUUGACUGUUACUUCUGUGGGUGUUGGAGCUGAUGCCUCUUGGAUUAACAGAGCUUAUUUACUUAAAAUGUACUUUCAGCUCUGGGGUACAUCGCACAUCCUGCAGGGUUGCUGCAUAUGUACUCAAAUGCCAUGGUGGUUUGCAGUCUCCUUCCACCAGUCACCUACAUCAGGCAUUUCUCCCAGUGUUUUCC